ensembl:lncRNA
UUUCUAGAAGCUUGCUGCUGUUGGUUUUCCUGGUACAAACAUGGCUGUUCUCUUCAGAGGAGGAGCUCGGGGCCUCGCUGUCCCUGGGAAUGGCUGGUGUUCUCGUCAGGGGAGCUCUGAUCUUCACCGUGAGUGUCACUUCCUGGCUCCAGUAUAGAUCUGUCAAUCUGGUGUCACAGACCCUUCAUCCCACCACCGACCCUUCUGUCCAACUAAGAAGGUUCAGAGGACCACGGGAAGAACAGAUCUGAGAGGUCUCGUAGCAGGUUCACACAGACUCUUAAUAGGUCAGCAAGGUGCAGAGAAAAAUAGCCUGGACCUGCACAGAAGAGCUGACACCAAGCAAGCAACUGGCUGCAUCCACUGAAUUGUUGAAGGAGAGAAAACAGGAAGGACAGAGAUAUGAGUAACAAAGUAUCUACUAAAAAUGAGUAAGAGACAAGAAGAAACAUCGCCAUCGUGCAGAGGGAAAGAAUGCCUAAACCGGUGCACUCUUCAUGGGAGGAUUCAAAUGAAAACCAAGGACAGCUUCUAUUUAUCAGACUUGAUAAGCAGUUGAAGAUACGUUUCAUAUAUGGCCGGUGGCAGUGCAAUUUGUUCCAGCUCCCAUGGAAAAAUAAGGUUCUGUCUUACCAAAAAUGAAGGGCCAGGGAUUUAACUCAGUGGUUCCAGCACCUGCCUUGCAAGCACAAGGUUCCAAGUUCAAUCCCCAGUACCAAAAAAAAAUAAAAAUAAAAAUAAAAGUUCACAUACUCUUUGACUAAAACAGCUACUGUUGAUAAACUCACCACUGAUUCAAUGAGGC